rnacentral:rRNA from 1 species
UAGAGUUUGAUCCUGGCUCAGGACGAACGCUGGCGGCGUGCCUAAUACAUGCAAGUAGAACGCUGAAGAGAGGAGCUUGCUCUUCUUGGAUGAGUUGCGAACGGGUGAGUAACGCGUAGGUAACCUGCCUUGUAGCGGGGGAUAACUAUUGGAAACGAUAGCUAAUACCGCAUAACAAUGGAUGACACAUGUCAUUUAUUUGAAAGGGGCAAUUGCUCCACUACAAGAUGGACCUGCGUUGUAUUAGCUAGUAGGUGAGGUAAUGGCUCACCUAGGCGACGAUACAUAGCCGACCUGAGAGGGUGAUCGGCCACACUGGGACUGAGACACGGCCCAGACUCCUACGGGAGGCAGCAGUAGGGAAUCUUCGGCAAUGGGGGCAACCCUGACCGAGCAACGCCGCGUGAGUGAAGAAGGUUUUCGGAUCGUAAAGCUCUGUUGUAAGUCAAGAACGGGUGUGAGAGUGGAAAGUUCACACUGUGACGGUAGCUUACCAGAAAGGGACGGCUAACUACGUGCCAGCAGCCGCGGUAAUACGUAGGUCCCGAGCGUUGUCCGGAUUUAUUGGGCGUAAAGCGAGCGCAGGCGGUUUGAUAAGUCUGAAGUUAAAGGCUGUGGCUCAACCAUAGUUCGCUUUGGAAACUGUCAAACUUGAGUGCAGAAGGGGAGAGUGGAAUUCCAUGUGUANGCGGUGAAAUGCGUAGAUAUAUGGAGGAACCACCCGGUGGCGAAAAGCGGCUCUCUGGUCUGUAANCUGACCGCUGAGGCUCGAAAGCGUGGGGAGCGAACAGGAUUAGAUACCCUGGUAGUCCACGCCGUAAACGAUGAGUGCUAGGUGUUGGAUCCUUUCCGGGAUUCAGUGCCGAAGCUAACGCAUUAAGCACUCCGCCUGGGGAGUACGACCGCAAGGUUGAAACUCAANGGAAUUGACGGGGGCCC